CCUACGGGAGGCACCAGAGGGGAAUAUUGCACAAUGGGCGCAAGCCUGAUGCAGCCAUGCCGCGUGUAUGGAGAAGGCCUUCGGGUUGUAAAGUACUUUCAGCGAGGAGGAAGGCAUUAAGGUUAAUAACCUUGGUGAUUGACGUUACUCGCAGAAGAAGCACCGGCUAACUCCGUGCCAGCAGCCGCGGUAAUACGGAGGGUGCAAGCGUUAAUCGGAAUUACUGGGCGUAAAGCGCACGCAGGCGGUCUGUCAAGUCGGAUGUGAAAUCCCCGGGCUCAACCUGGGAACCGCAUUCGAAACUGGCAGGCUAGAGUCUUGUAGAGGGGGGUAGAAUUCCAGGUGUAGCGGUGAAAUGCGUAGAGAUCUGGAGGAAUACCGGUGGCGAAGGCGGCCCCCUGGACGAAGACUGACGCUCAGGUGCGAAAGCGUGGGGAGCAAACAGGAUUAGAUACCCUUGUAGUC
rnacentral:rRNA from 1 species